rnacentral:rRNA from 1 species
UACGUAGGGGGCGAGCGUUGUCCGAAGUUACUGGGCGUAAAGAGCGCGUAGGCGGGGCUUUAAGUGAGGGGUGAAAGGUUCGGGCUCAACCCGGACACUGCCUUUCAUACUGGGGACCUUGAGUGCGGGAGGGGCGAGUGGAAUGGUCGGUGUAGCGGUGAAAUGCGUAGAUAUCGAUCGGAACACCCAUGGCGAAGGCAGCUCGCUGGCCUGCAACUGACGCUGAGGCACGAAAGCGUGGGGAGCAAACAGG